UGGUGUAAUGAUGUUUUUCCAUCUUUCGGGGCAUAUCAUUUUUGAUGAUAAUAUAUUUUGCUGAACACCU
rnacentral:snoRNA from 1 species